rnacentral:rRNA from 1 species
GUGUCAGCAGCCGCGGUAAGACGAGGGGUCCUAGCGUUGUUCGGAAUCAUUGGGCGUAAAGCGUGUGUAGGCGGCCUUGCAAGUCAGUUGUGAAAGCCCCGGGCUUAACCCGGGAAGUGCUUCUGAUACUGCUUGGCUUGAGUACUGGAGAGGAUAGUGGAAUUCCUGGUGUAGUGGUGAAAUACGUAGAUAUCAGGAGGAACACCGGUGGCGAAGGCGGCUAUCUGGCCAUGUACUGACGCUGAGACACGAAAGCGUGGGGAGCAAACAGGAUUAGAUACCCUGGUAGUCCACGCCGUAAACGAUGGAUACUUGGUGUUGGAGGUAUUGACCCCUUCAGUGCCGAAGCAAACGCGUUAAGUAUCCCGCCUGGGGAGUACGGCCGCAAGGUUAAA